rnacentral:lncRNA from 1 species
GUUACCAGUGAAGACCAUUACCAUAACUGGGGAUCAAGCCAGCAGCUACAGUGACCACAGAUGGCCUCUGGAAAGACUUUUCAUCCAAGGGAGGUACUGAUACCUCUGCCUACACAUCUGUCUCCAAGGUAUUGACCCCUCUGCCUCUCCUGCUUCACCCAGGAAGGUAUUGACCCCUCUUCUUGUCCUGCUUCUACCUACUGCCCUUACAAAGGCAUUUGUGGCCUAGCUUUCUUUAUACACUGGGACCAGAGACUGCAGCCAGCAUGCAGGUCUGAAAACUCUGCUACUGGAUUCCCUGAACAAACUAUACAGGAUGCACAGUUACCAAUGGAACUAACACACACUACUUUAUUUUUGGACAAGGACUAGCCUUUGGGGACUUGUCCUUAAACAUGUGGUGAGAUCCAUAUAAAUGUAAGCAAGUUUAUAUAACUUGAAGAACAACAUAAUGCAUCAAAUAUAUAAGGCAAUCAAUCUUCCCCUUGAAAGUGUGCUCCCAGUGCUACCUUCAAAGGGAGAAGCUGACAAUGCUGUCGCCAGUACACGCUGACAGCAAACAUUUAUUUUAGGCCUUGAAUUGACUUUAGACAGUCCUGAGUAGUGGUCCUUAAGUCAGAUGUACAAGGGGGUGUAACUAGCCUCCGGCACAAUAGUGUAUAUAUCUCUGGAUGCGUAGCGUUUUAAGCUCAUGCUUAUGGUUGUUGGAGUAACCAUUGAAAACAGGGGACUGCUUACAUUUACCCCAAAGGGACAGUGUUAAAACUUGUGUCCAAAUUUGAGGAAGAUUAGUAUCCUUAGCUUGGCACACAAUUUCAUUGCACACACAUACAUCCCACAUCUUAAAGUCAAGCAUCUUUACAAACGUUUCGGACAAAGCCCUUUCUCAAUGCAUCUUGGACCUUGAGGAAGGAGCUUUGCCUGAAACUUUUAUAUAGGUUAGGCUUCCCCCAACUUCGGCCCUCCAGAUGUUGCUGAACUACAACUCCCAUGAUUCUAUGAAUUUAAUAGAUAGGCUGAGAAUCAUGAGAAUCCAGCAACAUCUGGGGAAGCUUGAUAGAUGCUUGUUCUUCAAAUAAAGCUGUAGCACUUGGUGCACACACAUGUGAGGUGGGAAAGCAGCACCUGUACCUAUUUGAAGUACUGUCAUAACUCCAGCUUCUAUUUUUUUUCAUGAUAUUUUAAAGUUACCUCUAGUUCUAUGCUUAAAGGGGCAGGGAGGAGUGGGGAGGAGCAAGGACCCAGCGCCAGGGAUGUCAACACUGGGAAAAGGUGAGCAAAUACAGGGGUUUUUAACCCUUUAUUCACUAAAGAAUCCUGUAGGGAUCUGCUUAGGUUAUUAUGUGGUUGUAUUAGGUACUGUUUUCUUAAAAGUUCAUGUGAAAUCUCUACAAGUUGAGUGUAGGAUCAAAUUGUCUGAACUCUUUCUCAGCAAAUUUUCAGGUGAUGACAGCAGUUGUAUUUGCCCAGCUCAACUGAUUUUGGAUGGAACCACUGACAGAGGGUUACGGUAACACUGGAUAUCAUUAAACUGGUUAAUAGUCUGGGAACAAUAUGGUGUCCUGGGUCUUGGAGUACAGGGGUACUUUACACGGUAUGAUAGCACAUGUUUCUUUGGAAUUCUAAGGACAUGGUGUGUGGGUACAUGUGAGGGGCAUGCAUGUUACAAAAUUGUAAAAAUUUUUUAGUGAAUGUUCAUGAACUUUUUUUCUUUUAUGGCAGAUUAAAACGUGAUGGACAAUAAAGCCAUGUAUUUACAUACAUUUGAAGAGAAGGAAAACGGAUCUGUGUUCGAGGAAUCCUUCGAUGGAAAAAAUCUUUCAAAAAUGAACCUCUGUGAGAGCUGU